CAUUCUGAAAGUGUGUGUGAAUGAGGGCAGCGCAGUCACAGCAAACGAAAUACAUACGUAAAUAAAAUAAAAACAAACCUGAUCACAUUCCUCAUCGUCGACAUCGAAGACUUUGUGUACUUUAGUUUACCUGCUGAUGGAAAAUCGCUCACAUCCUCCAUGCCAAUACCCGAAUCAAUCUGCAGGAAAUCGAUGCUAUCAGGUUCUUUCUUGUCAGGUUCAGUCAGAUUUAAUUCGGAUAAAUCUUUCGGGAGUUGCGACGACUCUUCCAAGACGAGCAAUCCACAGGAUUCCAGAGUAUUAUUAAGGACGGACUGCUCUUCGAUUGGACUUUCAUCAAUGGUGGUCGUUUCAGGUGGUCCGACCAAUGAUAAGGCAUUCAACGUAUCCACUAGCAAUGUAUCUUCUAAAAAGCUUCUCAUCAGCAUCCUCGGUGUGUCUUCGUUUAUGCGACGGCUCUUCGAUGUCUUCCAAAACUAACGACAACUCUGCAUUUUCGUGCAA